AAGUUAAAAAAAAAAAAGGAAAAAUAAAAACCUUUCUUAAACUUGCUCUUGUUGGAUAAGGUACUGAUCUUAUAUACCCAAUUGAAGCUGCAGGAGGAGAUUUUCUGGUAGAUUAGACAAUCAUUUAGCUUACCAGGAAGAGGACUGUUGCACAACUUUUGAGGACUUCUAAGUUCAUACGUACAUCAUCAAGGCUCCUGUUACACACACGCGAUAGUUACAUCAUCAAGCUAGCCUUUGUUUUUGUAUUUAAAUUUACAUACUAUUCGGUGUUUGUUUGGACUCCGGAGAAAUGACCCUUGGGUCAUAGUUCAAAGUCGGGCUUAUAUGUAAGUAUUUAUAUCUUAUUAUAAUUUAUUAAAACUAUUUAUAUGUCUUA